ensembl:lncRNA
AUGGCUUCGUCUCGUAAACUGGGUCGGCGGAGAAAUGUCACUACCUGGCCAAGAAUGUCUUCAACUUUCUGGGCUGCGGUGCUACUGACCAGUCUGCUCAUAAUAUACUGCGCCACUGAUCAGACAGGAUUACGGAGGUCAGUGUCAUCUGGUGGAGGCCUAUCCAGUCCUGUCUGCAAUCAGUGGUCAUGGAGGGAGUUACGACUACUGGGACUCAUCAACUGUCCCCUACCUGUACCUACAGAGAGCUAUACAUCCAUCAGCUUUGCAAUCAUUAUCCAUUUUAACAUGGUAAGAUUAAAUUCACUUCAUGAACUGGAACCUCCCUCAUUGAAAUGUAUGGUCUCUUCCCAAUACAUUUAAUGCGUUGAACUAUUGACCCCGAAGUCUAUUUCCUGAAGCCAUCCCUCUCCCACAACCCUCUCUGCCUCCUUGUCUCCCUCAGAGCACCCCAGGCCCAUCUUUAUCAGUGCAAGGCCAGAUGCAUCCUGGGUGGUUUAAGCCAUCCAUUAUCAACACAAGGCCAGGUGCUUUGUGGGAUGGCAGAUCAGAGGUCUCCCAGGAAGCUGAUUGGGUCUUGUUCCAGUGGGGAAGGAGAAGCCUGGCCGAUAGCAAAGAGGCACAAGGGACAGAAGGCCAGCACUGUAACUUAUGGCAAUGUGAUGACCUGCAUGAGAGGCACAUACUAUUAGCUAGCUAUGUGGCUAUUUCCCGACUACACCAUUCUGCAGGAAAGAAAAACUGUUUGGUAAUAAUAGUAGUUAGACAAAAAGUGUGUCAAGGGAAUGUUGUUUAUGUUCGUUAUGUUUCAGUGACUAUAUGUUGACCCAGCAACUUCCAUACACAUGUUGUUGGAAACAGGUUGGUGUGGGCAGAAAUAUGUAUUAUGAACAUACAACAAUCCCUACACUAUACAGGCCACAGUAGUGGUGUAAGGCUUGGAGAGUGUACACAGUAUUCAAUAGUCAAUUGCUUUUGAAUUUUCUGGACAAUAAUUGAACCAACAGACGUAGACUGUUCCUGAAAAUGCCCCCACAGAAGUUUUCUGCAAGGUAUCAUCACGUUUCAAUUUCUGCUUGUGAAAACAAAUGCAUUGACAUUUUGAUCCUGAUCUUUGAUAAUGCUCUUAUGACCUAAAAAAAGUAAAUGCAGAUUUGUUAAUGGUAAAGCGAAUAUGUAGGAUUAACUACAAGAUCUUUAAUUUUGGUAAAUCUAUUUUAUUUAGGGAAAUCCCAUUGAGGCCAUAGCCUCUUUUACAAGGGAUCCCUGUACACAAUCAUACAAAUUCACAAUAUUUACAAUUACAAUGCAAUAAAAACACAAUAUUUACAAACAAUUUAAGAAAAGUAACUUAGAAAACACAAUCAUUCCUCAAUUAAAAAAAGUAAUUGACAAGCUGUCUGAACUGCCCUACCCGCACCAAUUCAUGCAACUUUAGAGAGUUCUGGAGAUCAUUCCACAAGCAAGGUGCAAAAAAACUAAACACAGAUCUACCUAACUCAGUGAAGACCAAAUGGAUCUCCAGAGUUAGCCAUCGCUGUGAUCUGGUCUAGUGACUCGUAUGCCUGUAAUUUAACAAUGAAGCAAGGUGUGGCGGAAGUUUGCACAAGAGGGCUUUAUAAACCAAAAGAGAGCAGUGCAUUACGAGACUUAAUAGAAGGCUAUGCUACGUUCUGAUACAGUGAUGUGUACUGAACCUAUCGCCCGUAAUAAAGCAUUGUGCGCAAUGAUAAACUGCGUCCAUUGGCUUCAAUACAGUGGCAGCUGCAUUCAUAUAGACUAUAUUACUAUAGUCUAAAGCCGGAAUGACCGUCGACUGAAUGAUUUGUUUUCUGCUAUUUAACAAAAGGCAUGUCUUAUUCCUAUAAAGAAAAGCCAUUUUUUUUUCUUACCUAACUCAUCAAUAUGCUUUUUGAAAUAUACCCUGAUAUUUAUAACAAUGUGGGCACCAUUUUCUUUUAAAAAUAACCUGUACUUAGUUUUGCAUUAAGUACCCGUUUCAGUUCAACAAAGGCUUUCUGUAAAGCAAAAAAGGCAGAUUGUAGUUAUGAAAGAGCCUUGUCAGUAGCCUAUAAUCUAAAGAUAAUUUGCUCUGGAGAAUGACCUUUUAUAAUGUUUUUCAAGUAUAUGUACCAUGCUGCCAUGGAUACAGAGGCAGAGAAUCAUGUGUGGUUAGGCUUUUCUACAGGGCUACAAAAUGUAUACUAUUUUCCAAUAGAUGAGUAUACCGUAUUUGCUGUGAUACUCUCUUAAAAUAACUAUAUUAUGGCACACAGUCAUUAGAAGUGCCAAUAGUGUAGGUCUAUCUUAGGGGACAAGAUAGUAGAGGUACAAAAACAUUGGAAAAGGGGAGGAUGGAGAACAACACCUGGAUUGUUCUCCAUUCUCCCCAGAUUCAGAAUAUAUACUUUUCAUAAUCAAGACACGCUUUGUUUAAGAGCUAUUGGAGAUUGAAAUACAAAAUCUUAAAAUAUUUGUAUGAAUUAAAAAUAGGUGUUGAUUGUUUCUCCAUCCUCCCCAGUCAUGGCAUGUGUGGUUCAAUAGCUAUUAGCGAGAGAGAACCAAAUAUCCAGUGUAAUGUUUAAAACAUGGUCCAGCUAUAGCAAGUGGAAAAUAUUCCCAAUACCUUGCUGAGUGAAAAUCCACCACAAAUGUUUCCGUCAUUAACUCAAACAAGCAUCAUCAAAGCAACUUUGCAAAUUCUGAACAAUAUUAAUAACGUUCCACCCAUGAGGCCACUAGAGGGCGAUUUGGUCAUUUGACUGCAGGAAAGUGGUACAGCAACCCUCAUAGUGUCUUGGUAUGUUUCAUAAAGGUGUUUUGAAUGCAUGUAGGCUAUAUUCAAAUGAUACCGAUUUAUUUUUCCCUCAUAGCUUAUUCCUGUACUCCACAUGUUUUAUGUUACGCAUUCUAAGGCAUGUGCAUAAUGCAUGCAUGCACUCAAUCUGGAAAGGGACAAUAAUUAAAUGGAACUAGCUAGGCUGCAACACUACAUUCACAUUCCAAAAUUAUCAUCGAUGCAUGGGAGGUAUCAAAGUCUUUGUGCGAAAUGUGAGAGGUAGUCAUGGGUCUAACGGAAUCAUGUCCCCCGAUAUGCCCUCAACCGAAAACAGCCUGUGGAAUUGCCCGGAGAUAAAACACUAAUGGCUGUGACGUCACGUAGAGAGCUCAGUGAAAGUCACUCGUGAAGCCGCGGGUAAGAACGGGGGCAAGCCCGAGACGUAUUGGUAUAUUGAACAGUAUAGUGACGCCGCAGUGUCUCCACGAGCUGCCCAUCAUUAAUUUCACAAGUUAUCUGGGUAUUUGCAUUACAUGGUACUGGACCUGAUGCUCAGCGUAGUCUGUGAGCAGUGAGCUCCUAUUUGAUGUGGUUUCAAAUUGACUUCUUAUCCAUCAGUUUUGGGAAUAUUGUGAAACACAAUGGAAAGAGUCGAAAUGGGUACAAGACGAAGAGAGAUCUAACUUGGAGACAGCGAAGAUGGACGUUUCCCAAACCGGCAGCCACUGUCUAGUUAGUGAUAUAUCUCAUGCGGAAAAUAUCGAGACAAAUUUCAUUUUACGCAAUUGCUGCAAAGUGUUCUGGUGGCGCAGCCGUCUCAUAUCAUACUAGCUAUCCCGGAGAGUGGGAAUCACAGAGUCACUGCGCUCCAAGCUCAGAGAAUAAUUUGCGGUGAAAAGCAGAUUAAAUUAAAGUGAGAAAAUGCCUCACUUCAAAUGAUGUGAUGGUCUAACGACUUUAACUUUUCUCUCCAUUAUAGGCUAUCUGAAGAACGAAAGGGUUGCAUUAAUUUGGAAUUGAAGGGAUCAUAAAAAUUAUCUGUCAUGGAUUGUGCCUAUUUUGUAUUUUACUUUGAAUUUAAGCCAACGGAGUAGCUUUAGGGAAUCAACUCACUUUUCUUUUAAACACUGCUGCAUUGGAUCAGAAUGGAUUUGUCAUUGUAGCCAGCUGCUGCUGCUGAAGACCGCGCGCUCCGUCCGGUAUUUC